rnacentral:rRNA from 1 species
ACUCCUACGGGAGGCAGCAGUAGGGAAUAUUGGUCAAUGGGCGAAAGCCUGAACCAGCCAUGCCGCGUGUCAGAUGAAGGUCCUCUGGAUUGUAAAUGACUUUUCUACGGGAAGAAUGAGCCGUCUGCGGACGGAAGUUGACGGUACCGUAGGAAUAAGCACCGGCUAACUACGUGCCAGCAGCCGCGGUAAUACGUAGGGGUGCAAGCGUUGUCCGGAUUUACUGGGUUUAAAGGGUACGUAGGCGGUUGUGCCAAGUCUGGGGUGAAAGUUUGCAGCUCAACUGUAAAAUUGCCUUGGAUACUGGUCGGCUAGAGUAGUGGAGCGGUGGCUGGAAUUUAUAGUGUAGCGGUGAAAUGCUUAGAUACUAUGAGGAACACCAAUUGCGAAGGCAGGUCACUGGUCACUAACCUGACGCUGAGGUACGAAAGUGUGGGGAUCAAAC